GUGAAUCAUCGAAUUUUUGAACGCAAAUUGCACUCUCUUCGGAGAGUAUGCCUGUUUGAGGGUCAGUAUUAAUAAAAAUAGGUGUGUUGCUUCUUUUUGACGUUCCGUAGGUUUGGUCAUCUUAAUAUCUUUUAGGUUGUAAGUGGCUAAAAAUUGAAUUUUUUUGUGCAUUUUAGAUGGACAUAAAUACUUUUUUUUAUUCUUCUGUUUUAAUGCUCAAAAUCCUAUUAGAUUCGACCAUAGCGUGUGG
rnacentral:misc_RNA from 1 species